rnacentral:rRNA from 1 species
GAUGAACGCUGGCGGCGUGCCUAAUACAUGCAAGUCGAGCGAACAGACGAGGAGCUUGCUCCUCUGACGUUAGCGGCGGACGGGUGAGUAACACGUGGAUAACCUACCUAUAAGACUGGGAUAACUUCGGGAAACCGGAGCUAAUACCGGAUAAUAUAUUGAACCGCAUGGUUCAAUAGUGAAAGACGGUUUUGCUGUCACUUAUAGAUGGAUCCGCGCCGCAUUAGCUAGUUGGUAAGGUAACGGCUUACCAAGGCAACGAUGCGUAGCCGACCUGAGAGGGUGAUCGGCCACACUGGAACUGAGACACGGUCCAGACUCCUACGGGAGGCAGCAGUAGGGAAUCUUCCGCAAUGGGCGAAAGCCUGACGGAGAAACGCCGCGUGAGUGAUGAAGGUCUUCGGAUCGUAAAACUCUGUUAUUAGGGAAGAACAAAUGUGUAAGUAACUAUGCACGUCUUGACGGUACCUAAUCAGAAAGCCACGGCUAACUACGU